rnacentral:hammerhead_ribozyme from 1 species
AUUCAGCUGAUGAGUCGCAAAUAAGACGAAACGCGCGUCCUGGAU